AAAAUAUUAUUUUUAUCGAAUCAUAUCAUUAUAUUGACAAUUGCAAAAAACUAUUCAUACUAUGAACGUAGUAUAAUGGCAGUCGGGCAAGUAUGCCCCCAUCAUCUAGUGGUUCAGGACAUCUCUCUUUCAAGGAGGGAGCGGGGAUUCGACUUGACUAGUUUACUAAUUUCAGGUUGAUUUUUAAUUAGUUGGUAUAUCAAUGCAAUUUUUCUUAGAAACCUCUCAAUAUUAUGUAAUCUGCUCAAAUCUAGAAUAUGUGUAAUUUGUUAGAAUAUUUUUAUUCUUUUUAAAAAAAUGAAAUGAAAAUAUGUUUAUCAAUAUGAAAUAUUUAAAAGGGAAUGAACAAUGAUCUCUUUUCUAAAUAAGGGGACAAAGUCAACAACAAUAAUUUUCUCUAUUGAUAACCCUCUUCAAUAAUUUGUUCCUUUUAAAUCAUUUAGUAUGAUAUUCAGGAACUUCAUCUUUUGUUGUGUUUUGACGCUGGUUAUACACAACAAUC
rnacentral:lncRNA from 1 species